rnacentral:lncRNA from 1 species
CCACCUCAUAAUCCUUCUCAAGGGCAGCCAUGUCCUCACAGGCCUUAGGAAACUCUCCUUCCUUCAUACCCUCAUCCACAUACCAGUGAACAAAGGCACACUUGUCAUACAUCAGGUCAUACGUGUGGUUCAGGCAGACCCAGGCCUCAGCAAUGCUGCUCAGCAUGCACACAUCCUGCUGUACUUUGGCCAGGUCUCUACCAGGUACCACAGUGGGAAACUGGUAAUUAAUGCCAACAUUGGGGCCAAUGGGGCAUCAGUCCACAAACUGGGUGGUACACUUGGUCUUGAUGGUGGCAAUGGCAGCAUUAGCAUCUUUGGGGAACCAUGUUGCCAUGGUACAACAGGCAAUAAGCCAUGUGUUUACCAUGGCGAAGGUCACAUUUCACCAUCUGGUUGGCUGGCUCAAAGGAUUCAUUGGUGAUCUCUGCUAUAGAAAGCUGUUUGUGGUGGGCUUUUUCAGCAGAGAUGACAGGAGCAUAUGUGGCCAGAGAGAAGUAGAUGUGGGGAUAGGGCACCAGAUGCGUCUGGAAUUCUGUCAGACCGACAUUCAGGGUUCCAUCAAAUCUGAGGGAAGCAGUGAUGGAGGACACAAUUUAAUCUAUCAACCUAUAUAGGCUACUGUAGGUUGGGUGUUCAAUAUCAAGGCUCCUACAACAGAUGACAUAGAUGGCCUCACUGUCUACCCUGAAGGUACAAUCAGAGUGCUCCAGGUUGUUGUGGAUAGUGAGGAUGGAAUUGUAGGGCUCAGCUGCAACUGUGGAAACCUGUGGGGCCGGAAAGUUGGAGAACUCUAGCUUGGACUUCUUGCCAUAAUCCACAGAGAUGAUUCAUCAGCAGAGGA